rnacentral:rRNA from 1 species
CUGUGAGCUCGAUGAGUAGGGCGGGACACGUGGUAUCCUGUCUGAAUAUGGGGGGACCAUCCUCCAAGGCUAAAUACUCCUGACUGACCGAUAGUGAACCAGUACCGUGAGGGAAAGGCGAAAAGAACCCCGGCGAGGGGAGUGAAAAAGAACCUGAAACCGUGUACGUACAAGCAGUGGGAGCACGCUUAGGCGUGUGACUGCGUACCUUUUGUAUAAUGGGUCAGCGACUUAUAUUCUGUAGCAAGGUUAACCGAAUAGGGGAGCCGAAGGGAAACCGAGUCUUAACUGGGCGUUAAGUUGCAGGGUAUAGACCCGAAACCCGGUGAUCUAGCCAUGGGCAGGUUGAAGGUUGGGUAACACUAACUGGAGGACCGAACCGACUAAUGUUGAAAAAUUAGCGGAUGACUUGUGGCUGGGGGUGAAAGGCCAAUCAAACCGGGAGAUAGCUGGUUCUCCCCGAAAGCUAUUUAGGUAGCGCCUCGUGAAUUCAUCUCCGGGGGUAGAGCACUGUUUCGGCAAGGGGGUCAUCCCGACUUACCAACCCGAUGCAAACUGCGAAUACCGGAGAAUGUUAUCACGGGAGACACACGGCGGGUGCUAACGUCCGUCGUGAAGAGGGAAACAACCCAGACCGCCAGCUAAGGUCCCAAAGUCAUGGUUAAGUGGGAAACGAUGUGGGAAGGCCCAGACAGCCAGGAUGUUGGCUUAGAAGCAGCCAUCAUUUAAAGAAAGCGUAAUAGCUCACUGGUCGAGUCGGCCUGCGCGGAAGAUGUAACGGGGCUAAACCAUGCACCGAAGCUGCGGCAGCGACGCUGAUGCGUUGUUGGGUAGGGGAGCGUUCUGUAAGCCUGCGAAGGUGUGCUGUGAGGCAUGCUGGAGGUAUCAGAAGUGCGAAUGCUGACAUAAGUAACGAUAAAGCGGGUGAAAAGCCCGCUCGCCGGAAGACCAAGGGUUCCUGUCCAACGUUAAUCGGGGCAGGGUGAGUCGACCCCUAAGGCGAGGCCGAAAGGCGUAGUCGAUGGGAAACAGGUUAAUAUUCCUGUACUUGGUGUUACUGCGAAGGGGGGACGGAGAAGGCUAUGUUGGCCGGGCGACGGUUGUCCCGGUUUAAGCGUGUAGGCUGGUUUUCCAGGCAAAUCCGGAAAAUCAAGGCUGAGGCGUGAUGACGAGGCACUACGGUGCUGAAGCAACAAAUGCCCUGCUUCCAGGAAAAGCCUCUAAGCAUCAGGUAACAUCAAAUCGUACCCCAAACCGACACAGGUGGUCAGGUAGAGAAUACCAAGGCGCUUGAGAGAACUCGGGUGAAGGAACUAGGCAAAAUGGUGCCGUAACUUCGGGAGAAGGCACGCUGAUAUGUAGGUGAAGUCCCUCGCGGAUGGAGCUGAAAUCAGUCGAAGAUACCAGCUGGCUGCAACUGUUUAUUAAAAACACAGCACUGUGCAAACACGAAAGUGGACGUAUACGGUGUGACGCCUGCCCGGUGCCGGAAGGUUAAUUGAUGGGGUCAGCGCAAGCGAAGCUCUUGAUCGAAGCCCCGGUAAACGGCGGCCGUAACUAUAACGGUCCUAAGGUAGCGAAAUUCCUUGUCGGGUAAGUUCCGACCUGCACGAAUGGCGUAAUGAUGGCCAGGCUGUCUCCACCCGAGACUCAGUGAAAUUGAACUCGCUGUGAAGAUGCAGUGUACCCGCGGCAAGACGGAAAGACCCCGUGAACCUUUACUAUAGCUUGACACUGAACAUUGAGCCUUGAUGUGUAGGAUAGGUGGGAGGCUUUGAAGUGUGGACGCCAGUCUGCAUGGAGCCGACCUUGAAAUACCACCCUUUAAUGUUUGAUGUUCUAACGUGGACCCGUAAUCCGGGUUGCGGACAGUGUCUGGUGGGUAGUUUGACUGGGGCGGUCUCCUCCUAAAGAGUAACGGAGGAGCACGAAGGUUGGCUAAUCCUGGUCGGACAUCAGGAGGUUAGUGCAAUGGCAUAAGCCAGCUUGACUGCGAGCGUGACGGCGCGAGCAGGUGCGAAAGCAGGUCAUAGUGAUCCGGUGGUUCUGAAUGGAAGGGCCAUCGCUCAACGGAUAAAAGGUACUCCGGGGAUAACAGGCUGAUACCGCCCAAGAGUUCAUAUCGACGGCGGUGUUUGGCACCUCGAUGUCGGCUCAUCACAUCCUGGGGCUGAAGUAGGUCCCAAGGGUAUGGCUGUUCGCCAUUUAAAGUGGUACGCGAGCUGGGUUUAGAACGUCGUGAGACAGUUCGGUCCCUAUCUGCCGUGGGCGCUGGAGAAUUGAGGGGGGCUGCUCCUAGUACGAGAGGACCGGAGUGGACGCAUCACUGGUGUUCGGGUUGUCAUGCCAAUGGCACUGCCCGGUAGCUAAAUGCGGAAGAGAUAAGUGCUGAAAGCAUCUAAGCACGAAACUUGCCCCGAGAUGAGUUCUCCCUGACUCCUUGAGAGUCCUGAAGGAACGUUGAAGACGACGACGUUGAUAGGCCGGGUGUGUAAGCGCAGCGAUGCGUUGAGCUAACCGGUACUAAUGAACCGUGAGGCUUAACCUU